GAUGAACGCUGGCGGCGUGCCUAAUACAUGCUAGUCGAGCGAACAGAUGAGGAGCUUGCUCCUCUGACGUUAGCGGCGGACGGGUGAGUAACACGUGGAUAACCUACCUAUAAGACUGGGAUAACUUCGGGAAACCGGAGCUAAUACCGGAUAAUAUAUUGAACCACAUGGUUCAAUAGUGAAAGACGGUUUUGCUGUCACUUAUAGAUGGAUCCGCGCCGCAUUAGCUAGUUGGUAAGGUAACGGCUUACCAAGGCAACGAUGCGUAGCCGACCUGAGAGGGUGAUCGGCCCCACUGGACCGGAGACACGGCCCAGACUCCUACGGGAGCCAGCAGUGGGGAAUCUUCCGCAAUGGGCGAAAGCCUGACGGAGCAACGCCGCGUGAGUGAUGAAGGUCUUCGGAUCGUAAACCUCUGUUAUUAGGGAAGAACAAAUGUGUAAGUAACUAUCACCGUCUGGACGGUACCUAACCAGAAAGCCACGGCUAACUACGU
rnacentral:rRNA from 1 species